CUGCUCCCUGAGCGCCGCUCCCCGCUAGCACGUCCUCACGCUCCUCCGUAAUGUGCUUUUAGAGCUGGAGCACCUGUCUGACAAAUGGGAUUCGGAUGCAUGAUCGGACCAAUGGGUUUCUGAAAACACGUCAAGGCCGAUUAUCUUGGGGUGGCUCAGUCUGCGGCUGUAAGAAAUUCUGAGAGGCGUUUCAUAAAUGUUUUUUGAACGGCGGGCGAUGGCAUCACUGGAACGUGUGCAGCCUCCCCAGGUGUUCGGGGAGCUGCGUGUGCAGGCUCUAACGGCCCGGGCAGCCCCGUAACGCUGGUUCAUUAGUAGACCCGUUAUUAGAGCUGGCCCCCUUACAUGUCCAUCUUAAGGCGUUUACUCUUUCAUUGAAAACGAAUACUGUUUCACUUUUCUAUGCGGUCGAGUUUAACCGUCACUCCACAACGAAGCCCAAAAGGCACUACCUGCACCUGCCUUGCGCACGCUUCACAGGCCGCUCCUGCGACACGGCGUUUGUGGCAGCGCUCACCCACGUGCCAGGCCGUGUCCUCGGCACCUGGUAACCCCGGGGGCCAGGCACCCCAGGCUGAAGCCCAGUGCCUCCAACUCAGAAGAGGGAGCUGGGAUUUGAACCCAAGCAGACCGACACGAGCCCAUUCGACACCUCAGUCCUAUUUCUUUUUGCUAAGUAAAAAGAUUUAAGGAGAAAAAGAUUUAAGGAGAAAAAUCACUUAACGUUGUAUUAGGCAAAGGUACGAAUCAAACUGGGACUUCCAGGUAUUUCUCAAUGUAAAAAACACACCGAGACACCAGAGAUGAGCUGCCUUCUCACCGUCACCACUGGUUCCUGGCCGGGGCCGACUCCGUCCUGAUCCCCAGGCCAGCACACCACACACGACCCCAGCUCUCUCUGUUCAACCUCACAGAACUGCCAACAGUAGAUACUGGGUUAUCAGGAGUCCAGUCCUCUGGAAGACGGCCAGUAAACACUGGCCCACGUUUUCUUGUCUUCUUCAAACCCUUGUGUUAGGUUUCCACGUGAGGGCUGUGAACUAGAAGCCGGGGACAAAAGGCCAGCAAGACAAAGAUCACGGCCCAGCAGACAGGCCAACGAGACGGGAUGAGGUGAUCAAUCGUUCACAGGUGAUGCUAAGUUUCCUUUUCAAUGCUCCACUGUGCCCUACUGAGGGAAACCGCUGUCUGAACAGGAAGACUCGACAGAUACCUAACCCGCUUCCCAGCUCCAUCCCCCUGUGUGUGUGUAGCCCAAGAACAGGGAGCUCAUCACUCUCACCUCUAACACGAAGGGUAUGGAUAUCAUUGUACCACAAAAGAUGACUGCUAUAUAAGGGCCUCACAUACUGUUACAUUUGUGUACUCCUGUACCUCCAAAAUAGCACCAGUCAUUAAGGAGAGGCUUCAACAUCACAUCACCACCGUCUGCUUCUUCCCAACAGAGCCAAAACACACUUGCAGGCUCAUGAACUGCAAAUACACCUUCAGGUCAGUGGCUUUUUAAAUUUUUUUUUUUUUAAGAUCUAAAUUUGCCUUUUCCUCCUAUCAAAGUCACUAUUUUCUGAAGCUUAUUUAAAAUGAAAAACUUCACUAGAGUCAAGUCAAUGAUCCUUUCCUUCUGAUUUCUGUUUUCCUCAGGCUUCUACCUUGGAGGUACCAUUUCCCUCUUCAAGGGGGCAGGAACAGUCUUACAAGUCACUUACUACGUAAGACCAUGGAAUGAAUGAUGCAGCUGCACAGCCAAGGUGAGAUCCACGCUUUAUGAACACAUUAUUCUCACACGCCCCAGUGACAGGUUUAAUACACAAGAUUCUCAGCUCAUUUUACAGACUCUGGAACCAAGUUGUUCAGAAGAUGAAUUCUGAAACCAUAGUUGGUGUAGCAAAUUAAUAUAUCAAAACAAAUAAAAACUUCAAAUAUUUACAUUUAAAAAAGACAUUUAAAAAACAGGCUACUUAUUAAGUAAGUGUGCUUGAACAAACCAUGUGUGGAAUUGAAUUCCAUUCAUUAUGGAGUUAGUUUCUGUUAAACACUGACACUACAGAGACCCCUGGCAUCUGAGGACUCAAGAAUUUAGUGUUCCCAAUCUGUGCUAAAAAAUAAAACAUGACAGAUAAUUUCCAUGCGCUAAUUGGAACCUCAGAUAUGGAAGGUCUAGUACAGAUAAGGCAGAUUACUCAGGAGUCAGAAGGCCUGGCACUUGUAACUCAGCGUGGCUUUCCCAUUGCCUAAGUAUCACCAGGAAUUCGAUAAAAUGCUCUGCAGAGGUCAUUUAAAUUUUUUGAUUACACCUUACUUCAUUAUGUCCUAGUAAUUUCACAAAUUUGGACAUUCACAAAAAUGUUUUGAAAUAUAUCAAUAUUCCUUGAGAAGGUGGAGGGUCUCCUAUAUUACAUCAAAUAAAAACCAUGCAGUUUCUUAGAGCUCACAGAGCUUUCCAAAAUAAACUACUGAUCAUACAGCCCAAUUAAAAACUCAAAACACUUUAUAUUACAGGUAUAGAAAGCUGCUUUAGCUUAGCAUUGCCAAUAUAGUUAAUUUGACACCUUAGCCCUACUUGCAAAGCGGUUAACAGCUUUACAGUGAUUUUUUUUUUUUUUUUUGCGGUACACGGGCCUCUCACUGGUGUGGCCUCUCCUGCUGCGGAGCGCAGGCUCCGGACGCGCAGGCUCAGCGGCCAUGGCUCACGGGCCCAGCCGCUCCGCGGCAUGUGGGAUCCUCCCGGACCGGGGCACAAACCUGUGUCCCCUGCAUCAGCAGGCGGACUCCACUGUGCCACCAGGAAAGCACUACAGUAACUUGUUUUUGUCGUCAUUGUCUUUGGCUCAGAUGAGGGCUUACGCAACUUGGAAGGUUUUUCACUUGUGUUGCUUCAUUGUUGUUUGUGUGGGAGUGGGUGCAGGUGGGGAUUAUAGCAAAGAGGGAUCAGUUCAUUAUAAUGAAGACAGAUCAGGAAUUACACAGCUACUAAAAUUUCAUUACCAUUCCCUUACAAAAUGUACGUGGGAGAAUAUGACUUGAAGACAUAGGGCAAAGCCUUGGAUGUGUGCGUACUGUUUCUGCUGCUUAUCCAGCCUGACAGUAACGCCAAACUUAAUUUACUACCUAGGGCAAGGGCAACUAAGAGGGAUUUUAUGAAGCCCAAUUCAUUUUGGUUCUGAUAUCUUAAGUGCUUAAAAUUUUGGAGUUCUUCAGAUUAACCUGAAAAAAAAAUCAACAACCAAAAUACCCCAAAGAUUAGAUAAAAAACAAUCGGUUAACAACUGUUAACCAUUAAAAGUUAUCCAACUCUUUAACAGGUUUAGGAUUAGUUGGAAGUUUGCUUAGUCUGUAGACCAAGGCAACUCUUCUAAAGCAAGAUG